GGCAGUUCUCAGGUGACGCACCCUGUAAUCGGGCUCCCUCCUCUCUGGUUCAGGAUGUGUCACCUGAGAACCGCA
rfam:Myotis brandtii contig261135, whole genome shotgun sequence.